rnacentral:rRNA from 1 species
CGGCGCCGCCCCGGGGCUCGUGAUAUCUUAUCUCGCCGCCCGUCGCGAGGCGGACGGAGGGAUGGAUGAGGUUACCUGGAAAAAAUCGGGGCGAUCUAGGCGGGCGAACCUCGCCAACGAACGAUCGGACAUGGGAUAACGGAAGAGGGCGUCGGCUCGACUUCGUCGGUUCCUCGGGCCGAGGCACGUACGGUGAAUAGGGACGGUCGGGGCCGCCCGUACCGGGUCGUGAGAGGUGAAAUUCUAGGAUCGACCCCGAGACGAACUGCCGCGAAAGCAUUCGGCAAGGACGCUUUCAUUAAUCAAGAACGAAAGUCGGGGGAUCGAAGACGAUCAGAUACCGUCGUAGUCCCGACCGUAAACGAUGCCGACCGAGGGCCCCGGAGGAGUUACGUACGACCCUCCGGGCCCUCCCGCGAGAAAUCAGGAGUAUUCGGGGUUCCGGGGGGAGGUAUGGUCGCAAGGCCGAAACUU